AGCUUUGAUUAUUUCAUGGAAAUUGUCAUCGAAAUUUGUAUUUUCGGGAAGUGUGCAAUGGCUAAAUCAUAACCACAUUCAGAUGACCACUGCAACAAGCCACACCAGGUCACAAAACUUUGUCCUGCUGCCGAGGCCAAAAUAGUAGUAGUGCUUGGAGCAAGCAGAACAUUUUCACGCGAAACCUUUAAACAGCCUAAAGCUGUUUACAAAAAUAAACAACGCAAAGAGCCAAGCAAAGUAGAAAAACAAAAUGUUGGUCCUUUCUCCAAACUAUAGCAGCAAUUAAAGCUCCAAUGCAACUGCAACUUUUGUGUCUUGAAGCAUUUUGCUGAACGCCAGUGCAGACAUAAAAUCAUGAAGUCGAUUUCUUCUUUGCCGCUGAAUACUUUUCACGCUGCCAAUUACGAAGAACGCCAAGAUGCUAUGAAAGGACUAAUUUCAACUUGGGGAUUAAAAGUUUCCAGUGUGGGGUGACAAGAUGCUGAAAGCCCUUGGCCAUUUUUCUUAAAAAAUAAUAGCAAAAUUGAGUUUUUUACACAGCCGGAAGUAUAUGCUCGUUAAUGCAACACACAGUUUUGGUGUGACAAGGACCCUUUUGGGAGAAAUGCUGGUUAGACAACUAAAUUAUUCAGUAACGGAAAUUAGUUGCGUGUAUCAAUUUUCCACAACUUGGAUAUUUGGCUUUCCUCAGAAACUCAUGAGUAACAUAUCGACUGUGUAUUUGGCAAAUAUGCGUUUUAAAAUCUUAAUGAACGUUCAAGACAUUCGAAUUGGAAUGAACAUAAAAGUGACAGAAACAUGAAAAGGAGAUUUUCCCCCAACAUGGAUACUCUUAGUUGAGGUUGUAUAGAUAAAUUUUCUUGUAAAGGAUCACAGUGGCGGACGAGUAUAGUCAAAGUUCCAGAAUUAUUUCCAAGAUUUUUCAAUUUUGCAACACUGUGGACUGAGCAGAUUAUUGGGAAUCCGCAAGAAUGAAUUCUGCUCAUAAUUUGAAAAAAUUAACUUUGCUGAGGGGAAAAGGGGGUUUUACGUACAAAAUGUCUGCUAAAUCGAGCUAAAUUUAAGACUGUUUGGGAAAUCGGCUUCUAUGGUAGCUACAACAGGAAAUUGAUACCAUCCACUUUGUUAUAUCUCCAUUUACUGCCAUACCCACUUUCGCUAAUUCCAGAAAGACUGCAAUUUCUUCUUCCGGUGACCGACUCAUAAUAUCAAAGUCGCACAGUGGAAGAA
rnacentral:sRNA from 1 species